CGAAGAUGCACUGAGGACAGUGGCCCAGAGUGGCCCAAGAUUUCUCACAUCCCAGAUAUCUACAUUGAUGGCCAGCUAGUAUACAUAUCGCCUCUAUACUCACCAUGUUUUCGUAAUAGCUCCCACUUUGACAGUGAAGAAAUGUCUUUUAAUCAGCAUUGGUUGUCUGAUUGAGUCUCACCACUUGUCACCACCUGUGGAUUCUUUAUCACCGC